GGGUUUUUUAUUUUAUACUUCAAAUCUUGAAUUUAUUUUUUAUGUUUUUAAAUGUUUAUUUUUUUGAGUGUUUGAUUUAAAAAAAUAAAAUAGAUAUUGACAUGGAUUAAACAAAGAUAUAUAUUAUUCUAUGUUGCAUAAACAAAUUGGCAAAGUAGAGAUGGAAGAUAAAAAUAUGGU
rnacentral:rRNA from 1 species